rnacentral:rRNA from 1 species
ACUAAGCGUACACGGUGGAUGCCCUGGCAGUCAGAGGCGAUGAAGGACGUGCUAAUCUGCGAAAAGCGUCGGUAAGGUGAUAUGAACCGUUAUAACCGGCGAUGUCCGAAUGGGGAAACCCAGUGCAAUUCGUUGCACUAUCGUUAACUGAAUACAUAGGUUAACGAGGCGAACCGGGGGAACUGAAACAUCUAAGUACCCCGAGGAAAAGAAAUCAACCGAGAUUCCCCCAGUAGCGGCGAGCGAACGGGGAGCAGCCCAGAGUCUGAAUCAGCUUGUGUGUUAGUGGAACGGUCUGGAAAGUCCGACGGUACAGGGUGAUAGUCCCGUACACCAAAAUGCACAGGCUGUGAACUCGAAGAGUAGGGCGGGACACGUGGUAUCCUGUCUGAAUAUGGGGGGACCAUCCUCCAAGGCUAAAUACUCCUGACUGACCGAUAGUGAACCAGUACCGUGAGGGAAAGGCGAAAAGAACCCCGGCGAGGGGAGUGAAAAAGAACCUGAAACCGUGUACGUACAAGCAGUGGGAGCACCUUCGGGUGUGACUGCGUACCUUUUGUAUAAUGGGUCAGCGACUUAUAUUCUGUAGCAAGGUUAACCGUAUAGGGGAGCCGCAGGGAAACCGAGUCUUAACUGGGCGUUAAGUUGCAGGGUAUAGACCCGAAACCCGGUGAUCUAGCCAUGGGCAGGUUGAAGGUUGGGUAACACUAACUGGAGGACCGAACCGACUAAUGUUGAAAAAUUAGCGGAUGACUUGUGGCUGGGGGUGAAAGGCCAAUCAAACCGGGAGAUAGCUGGUUCUCCCCGAAAGCUAUUUAGGUAGCGCCUCGUGAAUUCAUCUUCGGGGGUAGAGCACUGUUUCGGCUAGGGGGUCAUCCCGACUUACCAACCCGAUGCAAACUACGAAUACCGAAGAAUGUUAUCACGGGAGACACACGGCGGGUGCUAACGUCCGUCGUGAAGAGGGAAACAACCCAGACCGCCAGCUAAGGUCCCAAAGUCAUGGUUAAGUGGGAAACGAUGUGGGAAGGCACAGACAGCCAGGAUGUUGGCUUAGAAGCAGCCAUCAUUUAAAGAAAGCGUAAUAGCUCACUGGUCGAGUCGGCCUGCGCGGAAGAUGUAACGGGGCUAAACCAUGCACCGAAGCUGCGGCAGCGACACUAUGUGUUGUUGGGUAGGGGAGCGUUCUGUAAGCCUGCGAAGGUGUGCUGUGAGGCAUGCUGGAGGUAUCAGAAGUGCGAAUGCUGACAUAAGUAACGAUAAAGCGGGUGAAAAGCCCGCUCGCCGGAAGACCAAGGGUUCCUGUCCAACGUUAAUCGGGGCAGGGUGAGUCGACCCCUAAGGCGAGGCCGAAAGGCGUAGUCGAUGGGAAACAGGUUAAUAUUCCUGUACUUGGUGUUACUGCGAAGGGGGGACGGAGAAGGCUAUGUUAGCCGGGCGACGGUUGUCCCGGUUUAAGCAUGUAGGCUGGUUGUCCAGGCAAAUCCGGAUAAUCAAGGCUGAGGUGUGAUGACGAGGCACUACGGUGCUGAAGUAACAAAUGCCCUGCUUCCAGGAAAAGCCUCUAAGCAUCAGGUAACAUCAAAUCGUACCCCAAACCGACACAGGUGGUCAGGUAGAGAAUACCAAGGCGCUUGAGAGAACUCGGGUGAAGGAACUAGGCAAAAUGGUGCCGUAACUUCGGGAGAAGGCACGCUGGUGUGUAGGUGAAGUCCCUGCGGAUGGAGCUGAGACCAGUCGAAGAUACCAGCUGGCUGCAACUGUUUAUUAAAAACACAGCACUGUGCAAACACGAAAGUGGACGUAUACGGUGUGACGCCUGCCCGGUGCCGGAAGGUUAAUUGAUGGGGUUAUCCGUAAGGAGAAGCUCUUGAUCGAAGCCCCGGUAAACGGCGGCCGUAACUAUAACGGUCCUAAGGUAGCGAAAUUCCUUGUCGGGUAAGUUCCGACCUGCACGAAUGGCGUAAUGAUGGCCAGGCUGUCUCCACCCGAGACUCAGUGAAAUUGAACUCGCUGUGAAGAUGCAGUGUACCCGCGGCAAGACGGAAAGACCCCGUGAACCUUUACUAUAGCUUGACACUGAACAUUGAGCCUUGAUGUGUAGGAUAGGUGGGAGGCUUUGAAGCGUGGACGCCAGUCUGCGUGGAGCCAACCUUGAAAUACCACCCUUUAAUGUUUGAUGUUCUAACGUUGGCCCCUUACCGGGGUUGCGGACAGUGUCUGGUGGGUAGUUUGACUGGGGCGGUCUCCUCCCAAAGCGUAACGGAGGAGCACGAAGGUUAGCUAAUCCUGGUCGGACAUCAGGAGGUUAGUGCAAUGGCAUAAGCUAGCUUGACUGCGAGCGUGACGGCGCGAGCAGGUGCGAAAGCAGGUCAUAGUGAUCCGGUGGUUCUGAAUGGAAGGGCCAUCGCUCAACGGAUAAAAGGUACUCCGGGGAUAACAGGCUGAUACCGCCCAAGAGUUCAUAUCGACGGCGGUGUUUGGCACCUCGAUGUCGGCUCAUCACAUCCUGGGGCUGAAGUAGGUCCCAAGGGUAUGGCUGUUCGCCAUUUAAAGUGGUACGCGAGCUGGGUUUAGAACGUCGUGAGACAGUUCGGUCCCUAUCUGCCGUGGGCGCUGGAGAAUUGAGGGGGGCUGCUCCUAGUACGAGAGGACCGGAGUGGACGCAUCACUGGUGUUCGGGUUGUCAUGCCAAUGGCACUGCCCGGUAGCUAAAUGCGGAAGAGAUAAGUGCUGAAAGCAUCUAAGCACGAAACUUGCCCCGAGAUGAGUUCUCCCUGAGACUUUAAGUCUCCUGAAGGAACGUUGAAGACGACGACGUUGAUAGGCCGGGUGUGUAAGCGCAGCGAUGCGUUGAGCUAACCGGUACUAAUGAACCGUGAGGCUUAACC